GAUGAACGCUGGCGGCGUGCCUAAUACAUGCAAGUCGAGCGAAUGGAUUGAGAGCUUGCUCUUAUGAAGUUAGCGGCGGACGGGUGAGUAACACGUGGGUAAUCUGCCCAUAAGACUGGGAUAACUCCGGGAAACCGGGGCUAAUACCGGAUAACAUUUUGAACCGCAUGGUUCGAAAUUGAAAGGCGGCUUCGGCUAUCACUUAUGGAUGGACCCGCGUCGCAUUAGCUAGUUGGUGAGGUAACGGGUCACCAAGGCAACGAUGCGUAGCCGACCUGAGAGGGUGAUCGGCCACACUGGGACUGAGACACGGCCCAGACUCCUACGGGAGGCAGCAGUAGGGAAUCUUCCGCAAUGGACGAAAGUCUGACGGAGCAACGCCGCGUGAGUGAUGAAGGCUUUCGGGUCGUAAAACUCUGUUGUUAGGGAAGAACAAGUGCUAGUUGAAUAAGCUGGCACCUUGACGGUACCUAACCAGAAAGCCACGGCUAACUACGUGCCAGCCGCCGCCGUAA
rnacentral:rRNA from 1 species